AGCCUGAUGCAGCAACGCCGCGUGAGGGACGACGGCCUAAGGGUUGUAAACCUCUUUUAGCAGGGAAGAAGCGAAAGUGACGGUACCUGCAGAAAAAGCACCGGCUAACUACGUGCCAGCAGCCGCGGUAAUACGUAGGGUGCAAGCGUUAUCCGGAAUUAUUGGGCGUAAAGAGCUCGUAGGCGGUUUGUCGCGUCUGCUGUGAAAACCCGAGGCUCAACCUCGGGCCUGCAGUGGGUACGGGCAGACUAGAGUGCGGUAGGGGAGAUUGGAAUUCCUGGUGUAGCGGUGGAAUGCGCAGAUAUCAGGAGGAACACCGAUGGCGAAGGCAGAUCUCUGGGCCGUAACUGACGCUGAGGAGCGAAAGGGUGGGGAGCAAACAGGCUUAGAUACCCUGGUAGUCCACCCCGUAAACGUUGGGAACUAGUUGUGGGGUCCAUUCCACGGAUUCCGUGACGCAGCUAACGCAUUAAGUUCCCCGCCUGGGGAGUACGGCCGCAAGGCUAAAACUCAAAGGAAUUGACGGGGACCCGCACAAGCGGCGGAGCAUGCGGAUUAAUUCGAUGCAACGCGAAGAACCUUACCAAGGCUUGACAUAUACGAGAACGCUGCAGAAAUGUAGAACUCUUUGGACA
rnacentral:rRNA from 1 species